CCCUUAGAUGUUCUGGGCCGCACACGCGCUACACUGAAGGAGGCAGCGUGUACUCCUGGAUCGAAAGAUUUGGGUAACCCGCGAAUCUCCUUCGUGCUAGGGAUUGAGGUUUGCAAUUAUCCUUCAUGAACGAGGAAUUCCCAGUAAGUGCAAGUCAUAAGCUUGCGCUGACUACGUCCCUGCCCUAUGUACACACCGCCCGUCGCUACUACCGAUUGAAUGAUUUAGUGAGGACUUCGGACUGGGACCGAUGCGGCUUUCGGGCUGCGUCGGUAUUCUGGAAAGAUGUCCAAACUGUAUCAUUUAGAGGAAGUAAAAGUCGUAACA
rnacentral:rRNA from 1 species